rnacentral:rRNA from 1 species
GUGCAGCAGUCGCGAAUACUUUACAAUGUGCGAAAGCACGAUAAGGGAACUCUGAGUGCCUCCUAAGGAGGCUGUUCAGGUGUCUAAAAGCACCUGAAGGAAGGGCUGGGUAAGACCGGUGCCAGCCGCCGCGGUAACACCGGCAGCCCAAGUGGUAGCCACGUUUAUUGGGUCUAAAGCGUCCGUAGCCGGCUGGGUAAGUUCCUUGGGAAAUUUGGCUGCUUAACAGUCAAGCUUUCAGGGAAUACUGCCCGGCUUGGGGACCGGGAGAGGUCAGAGGUACUCCAGGGGUAGGGGUGAAAUCCAUUAAUCCUUGGGGGACCACCGGUAGCGAAGGCGUCUGACCAGACCGGGUCCGACGGUGAGGGACGAAGGGCUAGGGGCGCGAACCGGAUUAGAUACCCCUGUAGU